rnacentral:lncRNA from 1 species
AUUUAAUUAAGCGCAUCCGCUGAGGGGAUUCAAAGUGGGCCCGCCACAACACUGCAUCUCCUGACUCUUCUACCUCAACUGAAAAACAUAUUACAAAAUUCUCUGGGAUACAAUAUAAUUUGACACCCUCAUUAAUAAGAAUAUACUGUAAUUGUGGUUCUGGGAAGGCAGACUGGUCCAAUACAAUGCGAUACUGACAUCUUGUGGUUAAACAACAAAAUGUGACUGGUAAGCAUACAGUUUUUUCAACUGUGUUUUCAACUGUUAGAUUUGAGCGAAUUUUUUAUUGGCUGUGUAAAUAAAUAAAUUCAAAUCAACAAAAUUAUCUUAGGAUCAAUAUUAGGUGUUAGCUUGUUAGUAUAUUUAGUUGGUUACAGUAUAAUAAAUAGGAUAAUAUCUGUAUCUUCUCAGUAUCUCCCAAUAGAUCCAUUUUCUAAAGGACAGUUUGUAAGAUACCAUCUUAUUUUUACGCUGAUAUCUGAUAUCAGCUUACUUAUGGCCAGUGUCAAUACUGCAAAUGGGAGAGUAGAUUGGCGCGCAUAUAAUGUAGAUAUAUAUUGCUGAUAUACAGUAUAUUGCAGUUAAUUGUCUUUUAUUUUGUUUUUUAUUUUUUUGCAUCUGACUAAAUAUAAGAAAAAUGUUCUCCCGAAGUUCAUCCUCAAGUCUUUACAUGCUGUUGAUUUCUGGAACAUAUCUCUGCUUUUGCCUGAUAUCAAGCUCAUGUUAUACUUCUAAUCACUUUGUCGAUCAAAGUCCUUGUGCAUUACUAGCAAAAAGAGAUGAUAAAAUGUAACAGUACAAUGCCAAAUUCUUCUGAACAAUCUACAUUUUCCCGUCAUUUCUUGUGCCAGGCUGAGCAAAAGGCAACACUGGAAAAACAUUUCAUCAGAUUUUUUCUUCAUUAUGAGCCUGUGACCCAGAAAAGUAACAGAUAUGCUCAACCAGAUUUGUGGAUUGGCAAGUGGAACAGGACUGUAGGACCCCUGAGAUUUGUUCACUGCAAUUUAAUUGCAUGGGUUAUCCUCGGAGAUGAUGAUGAUGAGGCAACUUAUCGAUUUCAUGUAGAAAUCAUGAGCCUCUGUAGAAAAAAACUGAGAUCUAGAUUGAAAGCUACCAUCUAACGCAUGCUGAAUUGACUUUUUUUGGUUGGUCUUGAAGCUUCACAUUGAGCAAUACUGCUAUGAUGGCCAUACUCACUUGUACCAGGGUGCUUGGGCCUGGAAGAUAUGCCUUGUUGUAUUAUACACUCUGGAAGAAGUCAAAAGAUGUUGACUGUGAUCACAAGUACCAAAGAAAUUCUAACAGAAGGUUUCUCAGCUGUUUUUUUUUAUUGUAUUAGAUGUCCUUAAUAACAUACUAAAAGUUAACCAAAGUUUGACCGCUAGAAAGGUCAUUUUCACGAUGGCGUCCAUGAUGGGUAGGAAGCCUGGGGAGACACCUCAGGCGAAUAGGGUAAACAUUUUAAGUAACAGAUAUCACCAUGAAACUUCCCAAGUUUAUAACUUUCAUUAGACAAUUUUUUUUUUGUAUUAAAAGUUUUGUCAAAUGUUUUGUUGGAAUAUGUAAAUGAGGCAGUGUCUAAUUAAAUAUGCACUAAUUUGCAUACAUUUCCAGAACCAAAAAACUGAACAAUGGAUAAAGCCCCUUUCAAAAUUCUUGUUUUAUUUUGUUGACAUACUAGCAGUGGUGUGCACCGGUAGACACUAGGUGGUGCUAAAGCACCUGCCCUUUGCCCUUCGGAACAAGCAAGUGCCCUUUUGAAAGUUGUUUUUUUAUUUUUUCUCUCUGUGGCCUAUGCUGACAUGAUCAUCUACAAGUGCUCGUCGAUUAAAAGCAUGUCAUAAUAAUUCCCCAAUCAAUACUCCCUCAGCAUUUUCCUGUUUAUAAUGCUUCACUGUAAAAAGAAGCACAGCAUAGAGGAAAUAUUCAAAUCUUCAGAAAAACAUGAAGUCCUUAAAGUUGGAGUUUAGCUAUGUGCUGGAGUGUCCAGGUUGCUCUGCAGUCCUCUAAAUACUUAGCAGUGUGAUUUUUGUGCCAGUUGCACCACCAGUUUUAGUUCUGGAUCUUGACAAGUCUUCAUCGGUGACAUGUCACAUUUUUCUGAAGACUUUUCAUGAAUUAAGCUGAAGGUUAGCUAUCACAUAUAUUUUAUUGUCCCAUACAGUUUUAUUUCAAUAAUGAUAUGCCAAAUAUUUGAGUGUAGGAUUGUUGGUAUGAAAAUCUAUUAAUCUAUUAACUGAAUCUGUCCAAUUAAACAAUGAUCAAUGACAAUGAUCAACUUUGGGGGUUUUUUUAAACAGGGGGACAAAGCUUUACAGAUGUAGUUACUGCUCUAAAAUAUUGAUAUGAUAGGAGUAUAUAGAGACUAUUUUUAGUAGCCUUCUAAAGAAAAUCGACUGAAUUUAAUUGAAGUAAAGGCUUCAGUGGAAUUAAUAAUGAAACACAAAGUUUCCAGUUUUUGUUGGGUUACCUAUGAGACAAAGGCCUACUUAGCUAUAGUUUUCAAAACGUUGUCGUUUUGUACCGAAAUAAGGAAGGUUUUUAAAUUAAAAUGCUUUUAAACUCUUAAACUAGUUGACGAAAAAUAACCUCCACUUUACUUCAAGAGAUAUUUAUAUUCUAUUGAGCUUAAAGUAAAUUAAAGAUAAUAUUAAACUUUUAGAUAUAACCUACCAGUGUAAGGGUUUUUCUAAAGUAAACAGCAUUUUAAAUCUCCAUGGUAACCUGUAACGAUGUAAAAACUUUAAAUCAUUACAAGCAAAAGAGAGCGGUCAUUUCUGAAGAUCAAAUCUGAAGAGAACAGCACGAAAAACUUAAGCGGCUCACGAACUUACAACUUUUGACGGCUUCAUCGUAAAUAAAACCUCACCAGACGGCUAAGGACUCCGACAAACACCUCUAACCAACACCUGAACAGAGAGGACAACAUCUACGACAUGGAGACCGUAAGAUUUCAUGACAAUAUUAGCAUACAAACUUGUGUUACUGUCGAGAAUUUCGUGAUGGUUAAGCGAUGCAUCGACAAGGAUUAAAUGUGUGCAUAGAUAUUUACAGUGUUUAUGACUUUAAUGUGACAGGCAUUAUCAAAACUAGAAAAAAUUGCAUUUCCUUGCAGAAAAUGCGUGGAAAUGCUGAGUGCUGGAAGCUGAAAAAGCAAUGCUAAACUGCUAAAAAAAAUAAAAAAUGGAGGAAGGUUUAAAUGUAAACUUGGUUAAAGACCUGGAGAAAGAAAAGUAGAAGUUAGAUGAAAGUGAAAAAGUACAAAUAGUAUGAAUGUGCUUCAUAAAUUAAAAUUGCAUUCAUGCUAAAUAAGACUAGAAAAACUGUCUGAAAUUGCAAAAAAAUUGUAUAAGGAAGAAAAUUACCCUAAAACACAGAAAAGUAAGAAGCGGCAUAAGUUUAAGUUGAAGUACUACAAGAAGUAUGAUAAUAGGUAGUUGUACUAGUGAUAUUAGUAGUCAUGUAAGCAGUAGAAGUAGUUUUAGAAUAGAAGUAGAAGUCAAAGCAGUAGAGCUCGUGGUAGAAGUAAAAAAAAUAUUAAGAGAAGCAAGAGCAGUGGAGGUAGAAGUGAAGAUACAAGUUAAAGUGAUAUAAGUAGUAAUUGUAGUGGUAGAACUGGGAUUUUGUUUGAAGAAUUAAAACAUACAUAAAUAAUGGGAAUGAUUUUGAAGUGGGAAAAAUUUUAAAUAAUUAGAAGUCCUGAAGUGUUAAACAGGUUUGAAGUAUCAGAAAGGUUUGAGUCAGUUUGAAUGAGUUUAGAUUUGUCUGACGAAUUUAAUAAUGCAUGAAUAAUGAGAAUAAUUUUAAAGUGGGGAAAGUUUAAUAAAAACAAUCCUGAGUACACCCCAUAAUGUCCUCAAUGAGCCUCAAUGAAUUUUUGAAGCCCAGAAUAGUUUCUGUAGCUCAAAGUUUGUGGGUGGAGAUAGGUGGUGAUGCAGACACAUAUUAAUUGUGUGUACAUGCAGGUCUUUUAGACACAGACACACACGCACACACAUUGUCAGACUGUGUGUGUCUCGUUAAUGAUUGCAUCCUAAACAGCUGUGAGAUCAAAGGCAUUAACUGACCUACUGUUUGAAUGAGAAGCUGCCUCUGGACUUCUUCACAUAGCACAAUUUCCUUAUAUCCCAGAAUGAAAAUAAGAACAUCGUACAAAUCCUCCGCCCUUCAUGAACACAAUGAUCUGUUUUUCAUGUCUGUACUCCAAAAAAUGUGGCCACAACAGCGAGUUAAAAGUCGAGACGUUCGGAUGGUUAUCUUAAAAGUGAUGCAUUGACAUCACAUGAAAGUCCUGCCCACCAUGUCAAAGACUCUACGUGCUUAAGAGCAGAAAAGCUCAUGUUAUUGUGAGAAAUCUCUAUAAGAGAUUUUUUUAUGUCUUCUGGGCUAUUUAAAGCCGUCAGUCUGAAACUUAUUUGACAGUUUCUUUUAUACUAACCAAUGCUUUCUUAUUUCUUCUUUAAAUCUGCACAGAAGAGUCAACCCACUCCUGGAAGUGGAGAAGCUCCGAGAAUUGCGUGCUCGGGCUUCAACAGGAGGUAAGAAACACGUUUAACUUAUGAUGACAGUAAAAUGCAAACUCAAAUUUAUAGGGGUGUGAUAUUAAACAGUAGUUUACCAAUGUGUCUCUAACACAAUCUUUUACCUCUUUUGCAUUUAAUAUGCAGAGUGUAACAUUUGAAACAUGACAGAGACCUCCCAGCAGAUUAUAAUCUGGGACAGUUCAGAGUUAAAUCUGUGACAGUGCCAGCAAAAAUCUAAAGAUUCGCAAAUUUAGGAUUUGAUUUUGGACUUACACUGUUUCAUACUCUUUUUGUCACAAGACACACGUAUUUAUGUUAUACAUUUCAGUGGUUAUUUUAAUAUCUUUCUCCAUGUUUUAUUAGCAGCUUAGCAUUGCUUUUUCAGCAUUCAGCACUCAGCAUUUCCACGCAUUUUCUGCAAGGAAAUGCAAUUUUUCUAGUUCCACUUAGACUUCCAGAUUUGUUCACUGAAAAUACAGUAGCCCUUACAAUGGCUUCAAGUCUAGUUAAGGUACACUAUUAUUACAAUACAAUACAAUACAAUACAAUACAAUACAAUGUAAAUGUCAGUGAGCUUUUUAAUAGGGUGUUGGAUGCUAAAUCUGAUAGUCUAGGAAAGAUUUUAAUGUAAGAAUGUUGUUAGGAGUUUCGAUAAACGGAUUUAAGAAUAUUGGAUUUUCACUUAAACUAUCAAAAUUUCUGCCAUGUGAGGAGUUUCGAAAAAAAAA